UGGUUAAUAUUCCAAUACUUCUGUGUAAUGCGAUGAGAGGACGGAGAAGGUUAGGUCAGCCUGGCGUUGGUUGUCCAGGUGGAAGACAGUAGGCAUGCAUCUUAGGCAAAUCCGGGGUGCUCUAUGCUGAGAGUCGAUAGCAAGCCAGUUUACUGGCGAAGUGGCCGAUACCAUACUUCCAAGAAAAGUCUCUAAGCUUCAGUUACACAGGAAUCGUACCCGAAACCGACACAGGUGGUCAGGUCGAGUAGACCAAGGCGCUUGAGAGAACUCUGCUGAAGGAACUAGGCAAAAUGGUACCGUAACUUCGGGAGAAGGUACGCUGCUGAUGGUGAUAGGACUUGCUCCUUGAGCUGUCGGCAGCCGCAGAAACCAGGCCGCUGCAACUGUUUAUUAAAAACAUAGCACUCUGCAAACACGAAAGUGGACGUAUAGGGUGUGAUGCCUGCCCGGUGCUGGAAGGUUAAUUGAUGGGGUUAGCGUAAGCGAAGCUCUUGAUCGAAGCCCCAGUAAACGGCGGCCGUAACUAUAACGGUCCUAAGGUAGCGAAAUUCCUUGUCGGGUAAGUUCCGACCUGCACGAAUGGCAUAAUGAUGGCGGCGCUGUCUCCAGCAGAGGCUCAGUGAAAUCGAAAUCGCUGUGAAGAUGCAGUGUACCCGCGGCUAGACGGAAAGACCCCGUGAACCUUUACUGCAGCUUGACACUGAACUUUGACCUUACUUGUGUAGGAUAGGUGGGAGGCUUUGAAGUAGGGACGCCAGUUCCUAUGGAGCCAUCCUUGAAAUACCACCCUGGUAAUGUUGAGGUUCUAACUCUGACCCAUAAUCUGGGUCGAGGACCGUGUCUGGUGGGUAGUUUGACUGGGGCGGUCUCCUCCUAAAGAGUAACGGAGGAGUACGAAGGUGCGCUCAGCGUGGUCGGAAAUCACGCGUAGAGUAUAAAGGCAAAAGCGCGCUUAACUGCGAGACCCACAAGUCGAGCAGGUACGAAAGUAGGUCUUAGUGAUCCGGUGGUUCUGUAUGGAAGGGCCAUCGCUCAACGGAUAAAAGGUACUCUGGGGAUAACAGGCUGAUACCGCCCAAGAGUUCAUAUCGACGGCGGUGUUUGGCACCUCGAUGUCGGCUCAUCUCAUCCUGGGGCUGAAGCAGGUCCCAAGGGUAUGGCUGUUCGCCAUUUAAAGAGGUACGCGAGCUGGGUUUAGAACGUCGUGAGACAGUUCGGUCCCUAUCUACCGUGGGCGCUGGAAAUUUGAGAGGAUCUGCUCCUAGUACGAGAGGACCAGAGUGGACGAACCUCUGGUGUACCGGUUGUGACGCCAGUCGCAUCGCCGGGUAGCUAUGUUCGGAAGGGAUAACCGCUGAAAGUAUCUAAGCGGGAAGCCUACCUCAAGAUAAGAUUUCCCCGUGACUUUAUGUCACCUAAAGAGCCGUUCAAGACCAGGACGUUGAUAGGUUGGAUGUGGAAGCAUAGUGAUAUGUGAAGCUGACCAAUACUAAUUGCUCGUGAGGCUUGACUAU
rnacentral:rRNA from 1 species